GAGUAACGCGUGGGAACGUACCCUUUUCUGCAGGAUAGCCACUGGAAACGGUGAGUAAUACUGCAUACGCCCUUCGGGGGAAAGAUUUAUCGGAGAAGGAUCGGCCCGCGUUAGAUUAGGUAGUUGGUGGGGUAAUGGCCUACCAAGCCUACGAUCUAUAGCUGGUUUGAGAGGAUGAUCAGCCACACUGGGACUGAGACACGGCCCAGACUCCUACGGGAGGCAGCAGUGGGGAAUCUUAGACAAUGGGGGCAACCCUGAUCUAGCCAUGCCGCGUGAGUGAUGAAGGCCUUAGGGUCGUAAAGCUCUUUCGCUGGGGAAGAUAAUGACGGUACCCAGUAAAGAAACCCCGGCUAACUCCGUGCCAGCAGCCGCGGUAAUACGGAGGGGGUUAGCGUUGUUCGGAAUUACUGGGCGUAAAGCGCGCGUAGGCGGAUCAGAAAGUUGGGGGUGAAAUCCCGGGGCUCAACCUCGGAACUGCCUCCAAAACUCCUGGUCUUGAGUUCGAGAGAGGUGAGUGGAACUCCGAGUGUAGAGGUGAAAUUCGUAGAUAUUCGGAAGAACACCAGUGGCGAAGGCGGCUCACUGGCUCGAUACUGACGCUGAGGUGCGAAAGUGUGGGGAGCAAACAGGAUUAGAUACCCUGGUAGU
rnacentral:rRNA from 1 species